AUUGAACGCUGGCGGAAUGCUUUCCACAUGUAAGUAGAACGGCAGCACGGACUUCGGUCUGGUGGCGAGUGGCGAACGGGUGAGUAAUGUAUCGGAACGUGCCCCGUCGUGGGGGAUAACGUAGUGAAAAUUACGCUAAUACCGCAUACGAUCUACGGAUGAAAGCGGGGGAUCGCAAGACCUCGCGCGAUUGGAGCGGCCGAUAUCAGAUUAGGUAGUUGGUGGGGUAAAGGCCCACCAAGCCAACGAUCUGUAGCUGGUCUGAGAGGACGGCCAGCGACACUGGAACUGAGACGCGGUCCAGACUGCGACGGGAGGCAGCAGUGAGGAAUGUGGGACAAUGGGCGAAAGCCUGAUGCAGCCAUUGCGCGUGCAGGAUGAAGGCCCUCGGGUUGUAAAGUGCUUUUGUACAGAACGAAAAGGUUUCUACUAAUACUAGGAGCUCAUGACGGUACUGUAAGAAUAAGCACCGGCUAACUACGUGCCAGCAGCCGCCGCAG
rnacentral:rRNA from 1 species